GAGGAUUGCCUUAAGCGCGGAAGACCGUGAGUGUGGGUGCAGGGGGGGCCUAGUCGGACACGGUCUUCAUCUACUAGUUAAGCAGCUAGGUGGAGGAGAA
rnacentral:SRP_RNA from 1 species